rnacentral:rRNA from 1 species
UAGCAAUACGGCAGCGGCAGGCGGGAGAGUAACACGUGGGAACGCGCCCUUCGGUUCGGGAUAACUCAGGGAAACUUGGGUUAAUACCGGAUACGCCGUUACGGGGAAAGAUUUUUUGCUGAAGGAACGGCUCGCGUCCGAUUAGCUUGUUGGUGAGGUAACGGCUCACCAAGGCGACGAUCGGUAGCUGGUCUGAGAGGAUGACCAGCCUCACUGGGACUGAGACACGGCCCAGACUCCUACGGGAGGCAGCAGUGGGGAAUAUUGGACAAUGGGCGCAAGCCUGAUCCAGCCAUGCCGCGUGGGUGAUGAAGGCCUUAGGG